GAUGAACGCUGGCGGCGUGCCUAAUACAUGCAAGUCGAGCGAACAGACGAGGAGCUUGCUCCUCUGACGUUAGCGGCGGACGGGUGAGUAACACGUGGAUAACCUACCUAUAAGACUGGGAUAACUUCGGGAAACCGGAGCUAAUACCGGAUAAUAUAUUGAACCGCAUGGUUCAAUAGUGAAAGACGGUUUUGCUGUCACUUAUAGAUGGAUCCGCGCCGCAUUAGCUAGUUGGUAAGGUAACGGCUUACCAAGGCGACGAUGCGUAGCCGACCUGAGAGGGUGAGCGGCCACACUGGAACUGAGACACGGUCCAGACUCCUACGGGAGGCAGCAGUAGGGAAUCUUCCGCAAUGGGCGAAAGCCUGACGGAGCAACGCCGCGUGAGUGAUGAAGGUCUUCGGAUCGGAAAACUCUGUUAUUAGGGAAGAACAAAUGUGUAAGUAACUAUGCACGUCUUGACGGUACCUAAUCAGAAAGCCACGGCUAACUACGUG
rnacentral:rRNA from 1 species